rnacentral:rRNA from 1 species
CGCACGGGUGAGUAACACGUAUGCAAUCCACCUGUAACAGGGGGAUAACCCGGAGAAAUCCGGACUAAUACCCCAUAAUAUGGGCGCUCCGCAUGGAGAGCCCAUUAAAGAGAGCAAUUUUGGUUACAGACGAGCAUGCGCUCCAUUAGCCAGUUGGCGGGGUAACGGCCCACCAAGCGACGAUGGAUAGGGGUUCUGAGAGGAAGGUCCCCCACAUUGGAACUGAGACACGGUCCAA